rnacentral:rRNA from 1 species
CCUACGGGAGGCAGCAGUGAGGAAUAUUGGUCAAUGGGCGCGAGCCUGAACCAGCCAAGUAGCGUGAAGGAUGACUGCCCUACGGGUUGUAAACUUCUUUUAUCAAGGAAUUAAGUGAGGCACGUGUGACUUAUUGUAUGUCCUUUAUGAAUAAGGAUCGGCCAACUCCGUGCCAGCAGCCGCGGUAAUACGGAGGAUCCGAGCGUUAUCAGGAUGUAUUGGGGUUAAAGGGAGCGUAGAUGGGUUGUUAAGUCAGUUGUGAAAGUUUGCGGCUCAACCGUAAAAUUGCAAUUGAUACUGGCAGUCUUGAGUACAGUUGAGGUAGGCGGAAUUCGUGGUGUAGCGGUGAAAUGCUUAGAUAUCACGAAGAACUCCGAUUGCGAAGGCAGCUUACUAAACUGCCACUGACAUUGAUGCUCGAAAGUGUGGGUAUCAAACAGGAUUAGAUACCCUUGUAGUC